UCGAUCUCUCUCUCUCUCUCCUGCACAUCUCUCUCGCUUGCGCGAGCCACCGCCGCCUGCGUUCUUCCCCAUCCGCCGCCGCCGCCCCGUCCUCCGCCCCCAGCUGCACCUAGCCGUCGCUCCUCCCGCACAGCCGCACUCGCACCGCUCCCUUCCUCUUCCUCUCGCCUCACCUCUCUCUCCUUCCAAACCUCCUCCCGGCCUCGCCUCUUCCUUCCUUCUCCUCCGGCACCUCCUCCCUGUUGGCUCCUUCUUGCCCCUCCUCCGCGUGUCCUCCUUCUCCUGCGUCACCCGGAGGGGUGCAGCUGCCGCUUGCGCUGUAGCCCCUCCUACGAGCUCGCGCGCCUGAUCCGACGGUAGGAAGGGGCCGCGGCAGCCGCCGCACAGCCUGGCGACCAGGAGCUCCCCAGCAUGGUUCCCUGGAUGGAGGGAUGCUUCCUCCGUCCACUGCCUUCUCCGUGCCGACGCCAUCAGUAGCGGCGGCGGUCAGGCUGAUGCGGACGCGGCUGCAAGCUCGUCGUGAGAGCAGCGGAAAAAACGAGCUCACCACUCCUUCCUGCUGCGCCUGCUAGACCUCCAGGACAACUUGGAACAACUUGUGUGUCCCUCUCAGAUUCCUACAGAAGAAAGGAUACAUUUGCUUUUCUAUUGGAUGGACAACAACAUAACCACAACAAUAGGUCUAUCAGAAGAAGCAGGAGCGAAGCAAAGGCAGGAUUCCAUGGUGAGUUUGGAGUUUACCCUCUGUUCUUGGAAAUUGAAAUUGGCUCUCAUGCGAGCGGCGACGUUUUCUUAGCCAUGCUUAAAUUUAAAGAUGUAGUAGCUGAACAAGACUAGGAUCAUGUUUACGAUGCAUUUUCCAUCGAUACUAAGGUAUGAAUCCUAUGAUUGACAUUGUAAAAACUCUCAGUGAGCAGCCUACCUCCUGAAUUAAUAGUGAGAAGCCAUAUAUUUUACUUUUAGGUGUAAAAAAUAGUAAAAGAUGAGGUAGCCAUCUCCUACUGAAUUAAUAGUGAGAAGCCUACCAGCUGAAUUUUAUUCUUAGAUGAUAUGAAGGAUUAUUGAUAUUUACUAUUUAGGAUGUAUGCAUAUAUGUUACUGGUCUUAUGAUAUUGUUAGCAGAAGUUUUAGUGCUCUUUAUGGUCGACAGUGGCGUGCCGCUCCAAGCCACUCUGCUUUCCAUCAACACCGACAACCACAGCAGGGGUGGAUCCAGCCGACAAGAGGCAGAGUGGCGGUCAACGAUGGUGGCAUGCUCCCAAGCUGCAGUGCUUUGGAGAAGAUGGACAUGAGGCCCCAACCUGCACUGGCAUAGCUAGGCAGGGGAGUAUCCUUCCACUUGACAUUCCCUUCUCAGUUUUGUAUGUUUAAUUUUUAGAGCCGUGGUUACUAUGAAAACUGAGAUGUGGAGAUUGCAGUAUUGAUCUUAGUUCAAUCCAUUCUAUUACGUAGCCUCGCUUUGUUAUCCAUGAUUUCCCUCAUUUGAUUGAUUUGACACAUGUACAUUCACUAGAUUAUAGUCUACUUCGUGUAUUUAGUUCUAGGUUGUUUUGAUCUAAGUGGUACUUGAUUUCUUGGCAUUGUUCAU